AGCCUUUUGUGGUUCAUAUAAAUGUGCUGAUUGGGUUUGCCUACCACUGUGUGAGCUAUGUCUCCCUUAAACUUGUUACAAUGUUGGAAUAUUACUCCUCUGGCA
ensembl:snoRNA